GCAAGCCGACAAGCAACAGUUAUGACGUGAUGAAUCCCCCUCAGCGGCGGGGCUGGUCUUAAUACCAUGCAAGUCGUGAAUAGCGAAUGCGUUUCUGGCUGACCGUCAGGAACACCGGGAGGCACCCGGCAUCACAGUUUCUACACCCUGUAAGACUCCUUUCUCCUUAUUGAGUCUUUCUCUUUUGC
rnacentral:sRNA from 1 species